CACUGCCCUCGGCUUCUUUACAGUGCUGCCUUGUUGCGGAUGGAUCAAGCAGCAUUGUACAGGGCUAUGAAGGCGUUG
rfam:Equus caballus chromosome 14, whole genome shotgun sequence.